AUUUGACUGAUGCCCUUAGCCAACAGUACACUGAGGGAACUGGUAUUAUAGAAUGUGCUGUAGUGUAUUUUUUGUUAAUCUAGUAAUAGUUCAGUUAUAGUAUAACUGGAAUGCCUUUAAAGAUGAGUCCUUUAAACUUUGAUGGCAGCUAAGGGAAAUUGGAUGGACGGCACUGAUAGAGACCCUUGACCUUGGAGGGGGGCACAUGGUUAGAGCCCUGGCUCUGUUAGAGCAGUGGUCUCUUAAAGUGGAUUGUACAUUAAAUUAUCUGAGAAAUAGAAGAAAUAUUAGAGAUCUAUGACAAAGUUUCUUCAUUUUCAGUCUGUUGUGAUACUUUGAAGUUUAUAAGGGCUUGAGUGAUUGAGUUUUUAGAUUUAUUAUUUUAAAUGGUGGUAGACUCAAUACUGCUUGUAUUGCAGUAGGGAGUCACUGUACUACUUUUUUGUGUAAUAUUGCAUAGAGGUUAGCUGGUCAUCAUGAGGCAAAAGACUUGUCUAAUUUAAAGAAGAUUUAUUCUUUCACAAAAAGACAAAUGUCCCACAUUGGUUGACUUUUUUUUUUUUGUGACACAUGGCUGUGAGUGGAAAGUACCUAGCAAAUAAACACACUUCAUCUGUCUCUUUGAGAUCCUAGUAUGUUUCUAACAGUGGCUCGAAAAGUAACUACCUUUCAGAAAUUCAGUGCUGUGGAGAGAGGAUUUUGAAUUUGGGUAUUUGGAAAUAUUUUCCAUCAUUAGUGUAUUUAAUUGCUGGCAGUGACUCAUGUUAACAUUAAAGCUUUUGUAUAUACACUUGAGCUUGGAUACAGUUUUCUAACCUGUAUAAAAAAAAAAAUCCUAAAAGAGGUAUUUUGGUGGUUUUGAGCCCAUCACCUGAAAAUAUAAAAAAGACAAUACCAUCUGAUUAAUUUGUAAGAACAACUGAUUACUAUCAGAAAAUAUACAAGUGCAAUAGCUGAAAUUUAGCAAAAACCUGUGCAUAAAAGGUGAAUAGUAUCAAAAUUGAAUAUCGUGUUUUUUUCAGUAUAAUUAGUACUGGAGUUCUUUUGUUUUUUUCAUCUUCAUGAAGUAUGUUUUUCACCUACUCUAAUCAUUAAAUCAAGUAAAAUAUAAAAAUGAGUAGAAUUUAGAAUCAUACUCUCAAGUUGUAUUAUAAAGUAUGAAAGCAAGAUUAAAAAAAAUACAUCAUGUUCAAACACAUUAUUGUCACCAAAAGUAGUAGAAUUAAUAACUGUAUUUUUGUUUGUUUGUUUGUUUGUUUUUUGGUACCGGGGAUCGAACUCGGGUCCUUGUGCUUGUGCAGCAGGCGGCGAAACCACUGAGCUAAAUCCCCGGCCCAAUAACUGUAUUUAUUAGAAAGUACACAGAGCUUCUAUGUCAUCAAUAAAUAAAACAAAUGUAAAAAUUUAUUUUGUGAUAAUAGGUAUUAUUUUUUAGUUUCCAUUUUGUGUAUGCUUUACAAGGUACAUAAUUUAGUGGUUUGAUGUGCAGUACAUAUAAAUUGUAAAUAAAUAUAUCUUUGGCUUUCUUUUCAAAUCUUUUUGAGCUUUGGGAUAUAGAUAAAAAUAGUUAUCACUAUUACAUAGCAAGGGUUUAUAACCUGGAAUUUAUGUGCUAAGAGCUUCUAUGUUGGCUUUAGGGGAAGUCUGUAAACACUUUGAAGUUGUAUGUGAAAUUUUAUGUGUGUAUUUCUCUGGGGAGAGGGUCUGUAGAUUUCAUUGAAAGGGUCCAUGACCUCUCCUAAAAGGUUAAGACUCUCUCUUGUUAAGGACUGGAACCUCAAUAACUCCAUUCAUCCAACCUUACCCUCUUGCCAAGUUUAAUGGAUAUAUCUGAUGUCAUUACCGAAGCUUGGAAUACGACCGGAUUUACGGUCUGUUUUUCCAUUUUGCAAUAAAUGUUAUUGCAGUGCCUUUGGCUUUUACAGGUGUUUGAGUUAUAUUUGUUGCACAACUCCCUGGCCCUUCAUCACUUGGUUGCUUUUAUAUAUCAUUUCCCCCCUCAUACCUUCUCCCAAUAAAAGGAAUGGCCCUAUUGUAUGACUGUGGGGAUGGGAAUAUAUAUGUAUAUAUGUGUAUAUAUAUAUGUACAGAAGAAUCCAAUGUCCAUUGAGUAUUGGGAGACCCUUCUGAGUAGGCUAGGGUUCACAGUGGCUGUGCUUUUAACACUGGUUUAGCAUCUGAAUUUCAGCUUUCUGGAGUUCUUAGGGUCUGAGUUGGCAUAUACUAAAAUAUUGCCCAAAUUCUGUUAGCUCCUUAGAUCUGUUCUCUUUUUUCCUCUGAUAGCAUUUUAAUUCAGACCUAAUUUUUGAAGUAGUGUGUAAAGUGCUUUGACUGUCCCCAGUGAGCGUUUCUUUACUCUGAUCACCCUAAUUUUCACUUUCAUUGUGUUACUUUGCUAAAAAAAACCUUUAAUGAUUCCCCAUUACUGUCAAGAUAAUGCUGUUUAUUAGCUUAGCAUUUAAAGCUUUCCAGUGUUUAGCACUCACCUGUUUUCUGGCCUCAUUUCACAUUAAUCUUCCCCAGUAGACUGCUUGUCUGAAAUAAAAUUAUCAGUUUAUUGUUCCCUAAGUAUUGCUUGGGAUUAUCCACCUUGUUCCAUAUUCUCUUACCCUGG
ensembl:lncRNA